CGGAUUUCCCUUUAACGAGUAUACAGUUUGAGAAAAUGGAAUAUGACAUUUCCAUGAGCAUAGAUCAAAUAGUCCGUUACUAAUCUUUGAAAAGCUCAUGGCUCAUAGAGAGAAUGCCAAUACUUUCAUAAGGUCCCGCAGAGCAAAACAAUCUUAGAGAAAAUGAAGCAGGAAGAAGGAACAGAGGCUAUGCUAGAAAUUAUUCUUGGAAAUUUUGAAAUAAUAUGGCGUAGAGAAAAUUUUUUUGCUUCUAAUAAGCAUAAUACAAUUAAAAGAAAAACUCAUUUUCUUGUCCUGCCUUAACAAGACAAAUUAGUUGCGGCAAAGCUUCAAAUGAUUUCGUCGCUCUACAUUACAAGUCGUCUAUUCGAUAUAGUGAAAAUAUAUGAUGAAUUAUAAUACAAAUAUGACAUAAUUUUCUUUGUCUCUAGAGACACGCACCAUGCGCAAAUUUUCCACCUGCAUCUUAAGCGUUCAAAAUUACAAACAGGCUAGUGAGCCAGUAACGUCUCUCGUUUUAAGGCGAAGCACUAUUGUGCGUUCAGGUCCAGCUAAAAUUAUCGCACACACUGCACAAUUUCCACUCAGUAGCAAUUAUUAUAACAGAUAUUACGUCAGAAUUCAAGGUAUCUGGUGCAAGUACGUCAUGGGCUGAUUGCAGCUCCUUCUCCCAGGAGAACAUUUUUCGGAGAAGAGCGAUUCUGUUACUUGCAACAAAGAAAAGCCGAAGAUACAAAAGUGGGCUAUUAUGCAGCCUUGCCAAAUUAGAGGACUAGCCGUGGAAUGCAAGAAUGAAUAGAAGUAACCCCGAAAACUACCUAUCGGUCCACUAUCGGAGGCAUGAAUAUCGAUGGCUCUACUGUGACGAGAUUUAUGAACGCUGCCUCUUUGAAUAUUGGCGCGGCCAAGACGGCAGCGCCUCGGAUAUUAAUACCUAAUAAGAAAAAACAAAAACCAAUAGGUAUUCAAUAUUUGCUAAGAACGCUAAUCCUGUAGGCAAUUAUGACAUCGUACGAAUCACAGCGAGUACAUUUGUUUGAAGUGAUACAACGCGAUUGGUGGAGUGUAUACAUCCUAUGCGACGUAAGAGUCAUGGCUUCAUUAUACAAUCGCGUGUCUUAUCUAACGCUAUCAGUGCAUCAUAGAGGGCAAGCUUGAGCCCCCUAUCGACGGGGUGUCUGCGUCAAAAUGAUCCAGGGGCACCCGCAUGCACACUAAGUUCCACUUUUU